AUUGAACGCUGGCGGCAUGCUUUACACAUGCAAGUCGAACGGCAGCGCGGGCUUCGGCCUGGCGGCGAGUGGCGAACGGGUGAGUAAUGCAUCGGAACGUGCCCAGUAGUGGGGGAUAGCUCGGCGAAAGCCGGAUUAAUACCGCAUACGACCUGAGGGUGAAAGCGGGGGAUCUUCGGACCUCGCGCUAUUGGAGCGGCCGAUGGCAGAUUAGCUAGUUGGUGGGGUAAAGGCCUACCAAGGCGACGAUCUGUAGCUGGUCUGAGAGGACGACCAGCCACACUGGGACUGAGACACGGCCCAGACUCCUAAGGGAGGCAGCAGUGGGGAAUUUUGGACAAUGGGCGAAAGCCUGAUCCAGCAAUGCCGCGUGUGUGAUGAAGGCCUUCGGGUUGUAAAGCACUUUUGGCGGGAACGAAAAGGACUGUGCCAAUACCACGGUUCGAUGACGGUACCCGCAGAAUAAGCACCGGCUAACUACGUG
rnacentral:rRNA from 1 species